AUUAAAUUUGCUUGGUUUUAAGUUUAGCAAUGGUAAGCAUUUUAUCAUCGAGUAACGCGAAGAUCACGUUUUUGAAUUUAUGGUUGUCAGAGUAUUAUAAAAACAUUUAGUAUUCCUUUUUUAAUUAUAUUUACCUAUUAUUGUAAUUUUUUAAAUCAAUACAUCAAUCGAACAGCAAGUAAUGAUUAUUUAUAUCUACAUAUUACAUUAACAUUAGUAAUGAUAAUAAUUGUGUUUGUCAAUUUCUUUAACGUUGUACAAUUACGUUUUCCGGUUAAUUAAUCUUACGUUAAUCAAACUUAUAGUUUAAAGAAUACAGUUAAACGUGAAUCUUAUAUAACCAUAUAUGAAUGCGGAAGUUAAAUUGUUUUAAGAUGAAUAAUACUUGCAUCUCAAUGUUGCAAUUCAAUGAAGAAUGUCAAUGUUAGAGGAAAAGAAUUUAAAAAAAAGACUUGGCAUUUUGCGAAUUUUUCAUCAUAAAAUGUACGAAAAAGAAAAUGAUGGGAGCACCCUGUUUUUUAAAUGCUAUCGAUACUAUUGUAUGAGAAACAAAAGUGUCUGCUUUAUUUUUAUUGUUUCUUUAGUUGUUAUAGCAAUUGGAAUUUUGCUAAUAGCCUACGCGUGCAUGAUGCCAUCUAUGUAUACCACGUUUGAGAACAACGCUGAAAAAAACGAUACCUUCUUUUAUAAAGACCUUUUACUGGUAUGCGGAAUAAGCAUGUUAUGUUUUGGAAUAAUGACGUCAUCUCUAAGUAUUUUCAUUUCGGUAUUUAGAACUUCUAGGAUAAUUGAUGACGAUCAACAACGCGUUCCUAUUGUCGUUAGUUAUGAGCUGCCCCCGUAUGACACUUUAUUGUAUACUGGUAAUUAUAAUAUAGAUCAAUAUAAUUAUUCGCAAAAGUAUCACACUGUUGAAAAUGACAAAUGUGAAACAUUUUAUGUACAGCAAAAUUUUUAAGUUUUUAAAAUGGUUGUUGUGUAUUUUGAAAAUAUAGCAAAAGAUUUCAU